rnacentral:rRNA from 1 species
UGGGGAAUAUUGCACAAUGGGGGGAACCCUGAUGCAGCAACGCCGCGUGAAGGAAGAAGUAUUUCGGUAUGUAAACUUCUAUCGACAGGGAAGAAAGAAAUGACGGUACCUGAAUAAGAAGCCCCGGCUAAUUACGUGCCAGCAGCCGCGGUAAUACGUAAGGGGCAAGCGUUAUCCGGAUUUACUGGGUGUAAAGGGUGAGUAGGCGGCAGAGCAAGUCAUAUGUGAAAUUCCGGGGCUUAACCCCGGAGCUGCAUAAGAAACUGUUUUGCUGGAGUGCGGGAGAGGCAAGCGGAAUUCCCAGUGUAGCGGUGAAAUGCGUAGAUAUUGGGAAGAACACCGGUGGCGAAGGCGGCUUGCUGGACCGUAACUGACGCUGAGUCACGAAAGCGUGGGGAGCGAACAGG